rnacentral:rRNA from 1 species
CGAACGCUGGCGGCGUGCUUAACACAUGCAAGUCGAACGGUGAAGCGCCUUCCUUUUUGGUGGGUGUGGAUGAGUGGCGAACGGGUGAGUAACACGUGAGUAACCUGCCCCCUUCUUCUGGAUAACCGCAUGAAAGUGUGGCUAAUACGGGAUAUUCUGGGUCUGUCGCAUGAUGGGUCUGGGAAAGAUAUUGUUUCGGUGGGGGAUGGGCUCGCGGCCUAUCAGCUUGUUGGUGGGGUGAUGGCCUACCAAGGCGGUGACGGGUAGCCGGCCUGAGAGGGUGGACGGUCACACUGGGACGGAGACACGGCCCAGACUCCUACGGGAGGCAGCAGUGGGGAAUAUUGCACAAUGGGCGCAAGCCUGAUGCAGCGACGCCGCGUGAGGGAUGGAGGCCUUCGGGUUGUGAACCUCUUUCGCCAGUGAAGCAGGCCUGCCUCGUUUGUGGGUGGGUUGACGGUAGCUGGAUAAGAAGCGCCGGCUAACUACGUG